GUGCUUGGUUCAGCAUCACUUACACUAAAAUUGGAAUGAUACAGAGAAGAUUAGCAUGGCCUUGGUGCAAGGACAACACUCAAAUUCACGAAGUAUUCCAUAUUUUU